rnacentral:rRNA from 1 species
GACGAACGCUGGCGGCGUGCUUAACACAUGCAAGUCGAACGGAAAGGCCCUGCUUUUGUGGGGUGCUCGAGUGGCGAACGGGUGAGUAACACGUGAGUAACCUGCCCUUGACUUUGGGAUAACUUCAGGAAACUGGGGCUAAUACCGGAUAGGAGCUCCUGCUGCAUGGUGGGGGUUGGAAAGUUUCGGCGGUUGGGGAUGGACUCGCGGCUUAUCAGCUUGUUGGUGGGGUAGUGGCUUACCAAGGCUUUGACGGGUAGCCGGCCUGAGAGGGUGACCGGCCACAUUGGGACUGAGAUACGGCCCAGACUGCUACGGGAGGCAGCAGUGGGGAAUAUUGCACAAUGGGCGGAAGCCUGAUGCAGCAACGCCGCGUGCGGGAUGACGGCCUUCGGGUUGUAAACCGCUUUCGCCUGUGACGAAGCGUGAGUGACGGUAAUGAGUAAAGAAGCACCGGCUAACUACGUG